GACGAACGCUGGCGGCGUGCUUAACACAUGCAAGUCGAACGGAAAGGCCUCUUUCGGGGGGUACUCGAGUGGCGAACGGGUGAGUAACACGUGAGUAACCUGCCCUUGUCUUUGGGAUAACUUCAGGAAACUAGGGCUAAUACCGGAUAGGAGCUCCUGCUGCAUGGUGGGGGUUGGAAAGUUUCGGCGGUUGGGGAUGGACUCGCGGCUUAUCAGCUUGUUGGUGGGGUAGUGGCUUACCAAGGCUUUGACGGGUAGCCGGCCUGAGAGGGUGACCGGCGACAUUGGGACUGAGAUACGGCACAGACUCCGACGGGAGGCAGCAGUGGGGAAGAGUGCACAAGGGGUGGCAGCCUGAUGCAGCAACGCCGUGUGCGGGAUGACGGCCUUCGGGUUGUAAACCGCUUUCGCUCAUGACGAAGCUUUGUGUGACGGUAGUGGGUAAAGAAGCACCGGCUAACUACGUG
rnacentral:rRNA from 1 species